rnacentral:rRNA from 1 species
AUGAACCGCUAUGGUAUGCCAUUCAUACCUUUUGUUGGUCUUAACAAUCACCGGAAGACCACUGUUUUUGGUUGUGCCAUAGUUUCGGACGAGACCGAGGAGACAUACGUGUGGCUUCUGCAGACUUUUUUGAGGCCCAUGUGUCAAAAGAUGCCUAAGAGUGUUAUCACAGAUGCCGACGCUGCGAUGAUCAAGGCAAUUCGCGAAGUCUUGCCAGACGUGUGGCACCGUAUAUGUACGUGGCACAUGGAGAAAAAUAUGAAGAUUCACCUCAGUCACAAGUCCUUGAAGGAGUUCCGAACUCUUCUG